CACUAGUAUAUAUAAAUCUCUACAUCUAUGAUUUGCAAUAUUGAUCAGAUCAUCUCUCUCAAUUCUCUUAUCAUUUUCUACAUCACAAUCUUCAAUCAAUGGAAGAUUUCAUCAUCGAUUCAUUGAAGAAGAAUCUUGAUUCCACUAAGCCACCCCUCAUUGUCACUCGAGAAAACCAGGUUACAAAUCAGAUUCACUUCUCUUAUGAGUUCUCUCUGACCUGGUAUCGAAAACCCUAGCCUCAAGGAGAUUACUUAGAGCUUCAUAGGAAGAGACAUGGCUAUCACCAUGAUCACUUCGAGCACAAAGGCAAGAAAGAGGCUCGUGAGGUUCACAAGCGAUCUCAGAUUGCUCAAAAGGUUCAGUAUGAGAACCCUCUUUUUGUUGUUCUGUUUAAUUAUUUAUUGUUUUGUUUUGUCUUUGUUUUUGUAGUCAAGCUAUUAAAAAAAUCUGAUCUCAGCUUUCUUGGUCCGUAUGCUGCUGCACAGGGGGUGCAACAAGAGCAAAUUAUUUUCACAGAUGUUGCCAUGAAAAAAGAACAUAUUAGACAGAGUUCUUUGGCAGAUCUAUUCCUUGACAUGUAUUUUAACAAUACCUGUUUGCCAAAUUGUAGAUUGUUUAACUUGUGGUUGCGCUCAAGUAGUUUAUUUCUUUAGUGUUGGGGAUAUAACAAGCACCAUUUGUUUAUACUGAAUCAUGGUGACCUCUCUCUCUCUCUCUCUCUCUCAAUUUGUUUUUCGAGCUGUAACAUGAAUAUAUGUGUAUACACAGUACAUACAUGCGAUUGAUUUAUAGUCAUGUUCAUCGAUUUGUUAGGGUUUUAUUUAGUCCCUCUGAUAUGCUUCGAUCCGAACAGAGAAAUUCGUUUUACUUUGUUUUUUUGUAGCCUGCAAAGCCAGGACUCCAAUCUCAAAGUUCAUUUUAAGGUAUUAUGAUCUCAAUUCUGUUGCCUUUGCAUUUUAAAUUUUUCUGUGUAUGUAUUGAUAUAUUUAAUCAUGAAUGAAUUAUCAUAUAUGGAGUCUUCAAAUUUGUUCUGUUAGUUUUGUAUUAUGAAUCUGAAAAAUAUAUGCAAAUGAAGUUAUAAAACUUGUCAAAGUUCUCAAGUAAUAUGUUAUUUGCUUUUGAUAUAGAGAACUAUAAAAGUGAAGUUACGGAGUGCUUUUUGUAAAAUUUGUUCUAUUUUUGUAUAAGCACACUAAUUUGCGUUUCCUACUUUCAAAUUCAUACAUUACCGUGAAAGUAAGUGUCCCACUAUCUCAAAAAUGUGUUCUUUAAGUGAUCUCACUAUUUUAUUUUUAAUUUUUUAAUUUAUAUGAUGAGGUUGGAUAGCUUCCUCUUGGAUAGUUUCCUUUUCGAUUUUACAAACCAAAGUUCAGCUAUAUCUUCUGUGAUAUGGAUGGCACACUGCUGAACAGUCAAAGCUAAAUUUCUUCAACUAUUGCAAAAGCUUUGAGAGAGGCCUUGUCAAGGGGUGUCAAAAUGGUGAUAGCCGCUGGUAAAUUAAGGACAUAUGCGAUUUACCCUAUUUUUUUCACAUUGUUAUGUUUUUCAUUCUGUUAGAUAUUGUUUCUUGGUUGAUACAUAUUCUUUUUAUCAAUUGGCUAAUUUAGUUUUUGGGAAUAGACUAGUCCAACUGUCAUAAGUGCUUUAAAGAUGGUAAACUUAGCAGGAAAAGAUGGCAUUAUUUCAGAGUUUUCCCCAGGAGUCUUCGUAUAGGUCUUUCUCUUCCUCUUUAUUCUAUUCAUAUUUUGCUUGUUUGAUGUAGGAUAAAUAAUGUAUGUACUAAAGGUUCCAUAGGUUGCUUUAUGAAGCCUUUAUGCAUUGAAGGUUCUAUAAGUUUUUCAGAUGAGAACAACAAAACAUUGUAGAAUCACAAAGAAAUUAAGAGGGAAGGGGAGGUUAAGAAUGAGAGAGACACACCUUGGAGUCAUACAUGCUGAAUAAAAGCUAUUGGACUACAAUUGAAGAUGCAUUUCUCAAUAGGAUACGCUUACAACACUACUCAGGCCUAAAGCCUCAACAAAAUCCUUGAUGCAAACUCAUUUGAAAAACGUAUUCAGGCCAUAGAUGACAGAGAAAUCUUUUUUAAUAUUUAGAUCAGUUAACUUGCUAAAAUGGUUUGAGCAAGUGCUGUUGGUAACCUCUACUGUAAAUCCUUUUAAUUUUUCUUUUAAUUUUUGUUAAAUUUAUUUUUUCUAUACUCAUUAUGUUUUGUAAAAUAGAGUACCUAUGGUGUGUAAUGACAAAUUUAAUUUUUGUGAAUUUGUAGUUAUGAAAG